UACAGGGUGGAGUUUACUUUAUUUUCUGGAAACUUUAAGAGACCCAUUGCACACAUGGAUACAAUAAUUCAAAAGAGGAAGUCUCUAGAUGAAACAGUGUGUUGAAUGCUGCAGCAAUGAUCACUGCCCAUUUUGUUCUACAAAUUAUUUCCAACCAACAAGUUUACAAAAGGUUCAAAUUCUUUAUCAAAAACUCUGCAACUUUAAAACUAAUACAUUGGAACUGUUACAAAACAUUUCUAAGAGCACAAUAUUUAUUUCACCAAAGUAGAUGAAUUUGACAGAGGAUUGGUAUAGAAUUGAAAAAAGCAGAGAUACUCCCCAAGUAGAAAUUCUUUUUUUCAUUUGAAAAAAAUGUUCUAUUUAUUUCCUUUCCUUUAUACAGCUGUGAUUUCUUGUACAGAAGACAGCUAUUAGGUGGUUACAAGAUUGUUUUGUCAGCCUAAUGUGACGCCUAAUAAAUGCACGUUCUUCUCAUUAAAAUGUAACUCUUAAUAAAAGUUAUUCUUCCCACCGCAGCAGAUCCUGUUUAAUUUUCCAGAUGUUCUGGUUAUUAUUUCAUUUUCUGGCAUUUAUUAUAUUCCAUUUUUAUUUCAUUGUGAAAUACAUGUGUUUCUUAUUGAGAAUGUGUUAAAUUAGUCCACCACUAUGGAGUCCACGAGUGGACUCCAUUCCUGUCCCAGUCUGGGUGGGCGCCGUGGCGAUGUUCCUUUGACCGAGCUGGCUCCUGGUAUGAUAGAAUCCUCAAUACCAUCUCCUCACAGCAGAGCCAAGCCUUAAGUUUAUUUUACAAGUUGUUUUUAUUUAUUUAUUUAUUUUUUUUUUAAGUAUUCAUUGUGUGUGGGGUCAUGGGUGUAUGUGUUGGGGGGGGGGGGCUUUUUGUGUGUGAAGGGUGGGUUGGGCUUUUACCGUGUAUGUUUUGUUUUUAAAUGCUAAGCGCUUUGUGUUGCUCCGAGUAUGAAAGGCGCUUUUAUAGAUAAAGUUUUAUUUGAUUUGAUUGAUUAGUGCAACAGAAUAUGACAAAAUGUAAAGACGAAUUUAUACUUUGAAUCCCAAUAUUCUGAACUUCUUCUUCUAGGUGGUAGGAAAAUACCGGACUUAACUCUCUAUCACCAGUUAAAUUAAACAAAAAGAAAUCAGUUUGGAUUAUCUAACCAAAUGUUUCAAUAAUCUAUAUGUACUGAAUUAUAUUUCCACUGAAAAACCCUGGUGCCUAAAGAGUUACAAAUAAAUGUAUAAUUUACGAAAAACAUUAGAAAGAGAAAGAAUGGAAGAGGGGGUGAAAGGGGAAGGAAAAAGAAAACAGAAAAAGAAAACAAAAAUGAACCUGCUGCCCCGCAAGGUCCUUCAGUAUUGGAUCAAGCCUGGAGGUUGUGGGGACAGUGUGGUGCUAGUGGCCUGUGACACUUGGACGUGGGGGGAGUGCUAGUCGACUGCGCUGAGUCCGCCUUCGACCGCGCUUAAGUCAACCUUUCGCACGUAUGUCUGUGAUCUCACUGUAUGUAUGUGACGUCAGCAAUGUCCAGCCAGGCUUGAUCCAACAGUGCGAUUGUCGCUGACUGCUAUUUAUACCCCACCAAUCAUCACACCUGUAAAGUCAUGGUUUUAACUCCGGUGUUUUUUUUUUUGGCAAAUUCGAAUUGUACGCUAUAUGGUUGUUACCUGUAAAUAAAAUAUGAAGAAAAAUACAUAUAAUUUUAAAUGUUUUUUCCUUUACAAAGAUACAUGUUUAGCCGCAGUGCAUGCUGGGAAACGUGACGUGUGACGCCUAGGCUGACCAAGAUGGCGGCUUAAGCGGACUUUAGUUUAGACUUUAGACUUUCAGACUUUAGUUUUCAACCUGUUGCGCCAAAACUUUUUAAAUGUUUUUAAAACGCUACUUUUGAAAUUCUUACUGUUGUAGACCAAAAAGGAAACAAAAUCAACUGUUCCAUGCUAUCGCUAAGGAGAGCAAAGCCAUGGCUAGCAGCAGCAGUGCUGUUAGCGGUGCGGGACAUGACUACACCCAGAAGGCUAAUGCUGAACAAGACACGGUCAUCCCGGAUGAAGAAGAGUCUCCACUCCUGUCUAUUUCUACUGAGGGGACUCCAUGUAAAGAAAAGCUUCAAAAAAAGCGCAACUUGCAACACCUCGAGGUGAGAGGAGAAGCAGCGGUUGUGAUAAUGACAUCGUUGAUGUUCUUUCAAACCUGAUUAACACCGGCUUUGAUGCCACGGAGAAACUGAUUCAUGACAACUCGCUAAAAAUUGAGGGCAUCGCUUGGGAAGACUGAUAGAAAACGAGAACAAACCGAGAGGAAUCAUUCUCCAGUUUUCGUCCAGAACCUACCGAGACGCCGUGUGGAAAGCCGCGAAAAAGAAUCCCAUCCUACAGGAGCGCCAUCUACGGCGGAGCGGGAAAGCAGAGCAUCGCCGAGGCUUUGGUCCAAGCAGCUAGAAGAGAGGGGAAAGUCGCCUACUACGCGGGUGGGCGUGGCUACAUCAAUGAAAUAUUGGACGAGCUGUUCUACUGGUAAUCUAGACAUGUACGACGGGUUCAGCAGAAUACAGAACCGGCCUCCAACACAGAGCCUGUGGUGAGUUUAGAGCCGCUGGCUAGCAUGCUAAGCUUUACAUUACUUGCUAGGCUAGUACAGAUGGAAGUAAAAGGCUCAGAAAUGAUUAUUAGUAAUGUAAUCGGCGGCCUUAUAAGUAUACGUUUUAUAUUUAUUUCUCGUAAGGCUUCUUAGUGCACCGCUGAUCUUUUCAAUCCUGUUGGUACAGUCCAUAAACCCUGAAUGGUACAGUCCAUUCUGCUACCGCUGCAGAAGCCGCCACCCACUCCCCUUGCCCUCAAACCUUUUGUUUUCUUUAUUUUUAUUUCUUUGUUUGACACCGGAGGUGGACUGGCGAGUCCACAGACGUGCCACGUUGGUCCACAGCUUCAGUCUGCUUCAUGAAUCACAAUCACUGAAAACACAUUAAAGAGUGCUGUUUUAUCCAUUCAACAGCAGAGGGCGCUAAUCAAGUGAUGCCAGGCGUUUUGAAGCUGAAAUAAAAAUACAAAACGUUUUUUUUUCUAUUUUGAUUUUCUCGUUUUGAAUUUUACCAUGGUUCUACUAUUUACCAAUUAAAAAAAUAAUGAUCAACUAUUGCUCUUUUGUAUUUACCUUUUUCAAAGACAAGAAAAAUAUAAGCAGCACAUCUGACUGACUACAUUUUUCCUUUUUAUAUUCAAAUCUGUACUGUAUACAAUCAGGCAACAUUUCCUGAAACAGGAAAAUAAAAUGAGUAGAAACUAAAUUCUGCUGCUUCUAUCACUAUCCUAAAUGUAAUUUCAGCAUUUUGUUUCCAUUAAGACUUUCACUGUCAAAACACUUUAGACCCCAAUUCACACAUGUGAAACUGAUUUAUAAUGAACUCCAGCAUGAACAAACUAAAUGCUUUUAUUUUUCUCUUUUUUGCAGGUCUCUGGGAAUACUAUCCGCCAGAAUUCCAGCAUGAUGCUGAUUCUUCAGUGACUGUUUAAAGCACAUUAUAUUAAGGGGAAAAUGGGAAUUACAUGUACUUGUGCUAAAUUCUUAUUGAAUACGCUUUUUGAAAAAUAUGAUCAAGUCUUGGACAUUUAGAAUGUUACUUUCAUUUUACUAAAUUAAAAAGUCUUGCUCUAACACAUUUUCCUGCUCCUUUCUAAGUAAUUUUCUCUGUUCCAGGAUGAACUCGAAGAGAGACAUCAGAUAUCCAAAGAACACCCAGAAAAUGAUCUUUCACUGAGAAUUCCCUUCACAGAAGCAGCAUCAUCAUUUCUUGACAAUGGACAAACACCGUUUCAGAGAACACAUCAGUUUAUUUUCAAUAAACUUGUAAACAUCAACCAUUUUGUAAGUAUUGAAUGGUGAGAAUCCACUUGGAGAGCCUGAAAGACAUAAGUUUAAAAGUUAACCGAAGGAUCCAGGUUAUAGCACCUUUUACAAAUCCAAAAUUUGGAGCAUCAUGAUAGAAAGAAUCAAAGAGCCAGGACGGUGGAGCAUUUAGAUACAGACGGGACAUUUCCCUUUUCUCUCCUUAAGUGAACAAACAAGAGUACCUAGCUAAAGGUAAUGUGGCGGAUGUAAUGGUGAAUAAACUCGAUGGAGCUGAUGGACAUCCAACAGAAGUUGUAUUUUAUCUGAAGGGUGGGAGUUGGUGAUCUGAAAUGGAAGUUGUACUUUUGGACAACAGCAAGCUACAAGCUCCACGUUUCACUUGAUUUCGAUGCAUUCACGCCAACUAAAUCUAUGUACGUCUUUGUUUUCCUUGUCUAAGCAUCUGGCUCAAAACUGUUCUACUGGAAAGCUCAGUGUUGCUCGCCAUUUUUAUUACACUGGUAAUGUUAGUGUGGUCAAUAAGAACACUGCUGCAUGGAGCAGCUUUUCUCCGCGGCACUGUCCGCUGAUAAACCUCAUCUAUGAGGCUCGUUCUCCUUCAGAAUUGCUGGAUUUACGUUAAUAAACGUAAACAUAUUUGUUAUUGAAAACAAUAACAAAUAUGACCACAGAUUAUUUGUAGUUCUGAAGGCGGCAUGCAGCCAGCGCAGUGCCUAUUUUCUGGCCCUGCCAAACAUUACAUUUUGUGGGAGGCUUUUGUUUGUUUCGUUAAACUUGGGGUCCUCUGUCAGUGUGUAGUCAACGAAAUUUAACAACAGGCCUGCAGAGAAACCAUCAUUUGAAUUUUCCACACUGCCACCAAGUGGACGUUCAUUUACUGCAAGGAACUGAACAACUUCUCCAAUUGUUUUUAUAUUAUAUUAAUUUUUUAUCAAUUUGAGUGGACCCUCUUAGAUUACUAAUGGUUUCCCCUGUGACCUCUUUCUGGGAGAUUUAGAUCAGGAUUUUGUAUUUUUUUAUGUGGCAUUGACAUUGACAAUCUUUUGUUUCUUUGUAAAUCUUUUGUCUUUUUACAGUGCCAUUUUCCAAUUAUUGAAUCUUUGUUUAUUGAAAACCAAAUCCCUGUCAUUGUUUCCCCCAAAUUUACGACACGGGAAACAAAAGCAUGCAUCAAGCUUUGCUGAAUAUUCCAGCCAUGGUCUCCCACCAUACCAGCCUGGGUAGAAUGAGCGAGCGUUCUUACCAAAAUUACGUCUGGGCAAAACCAGAGCUGUGGGCUGUGAAGAUGUUAAAGUGUUCAAGUCUGAAUUUACAUCAUCUGUCAUCUGAGGAUGAGAAUUUGUUAAAAUAACGAAUGAUCAAAUAAUUUCAGCGAUUAAAAAGCCGACGAAAACUCUGAACAGUGACUAAGCUCAAUUGGAAAUUGCGUCUGAGCUUUACUGAGCCUGUGAGAUCUACUGUGAGAUCUGGAAUGAAGCGUGAGGCCACGCCCUCUCAUCCAUCUACCAAUCAGCACUAGCUGCUGCUAUGAAUGAGAGCCAGACAGAAGGAAGGAAAAAAUUGUGGACAAGUAUUACGGGGAGAAGUGCAGCCUCAGAGGGGGGUUGGACAGCUUUACCACGAGGCAACGAGGCCUCACGGGGGUGUCAGACAGGUGGACAGCUUUGCCUGAUCACAUGAUGGAGGGGUAGCAAAGGUAGCACUCAAACACGUCCACCACGUAUUUUUUUUAUUUGCGCUGGCACAGUAAGUGUAGGUAUAGGACAAACCCACGAGUAGGAAGGACUUAAAGAACUUCAGCCUUUUUUGAUUGUAAAAAAAAUUGAUGUGAAAAACAUUGCAUUUAACUAGUUGAUCUAAGAACACAUCUAUUUGCUGAGUCUUGAAAUAAAAAAAACCUGAAAUAUUUAAAACAGAAGAUAAUAUUUUGGGGCAUAACAGUUUGCAGUUAACUGCAAGGGUUGACAACAAAUUCAGAAAGAAAAUUCAAAGGUUUUAAAAAUUCGCAAUCAUACCAGGGUAGGUCCAAUAACAUCAAACCCAGACCUCACUUUGAAGGGGCCAGAGACCAUUUACAGCUGGCUGCAGAUUGCUGGAAGAGAUCACAUGACCAAGAGGUAUUCCCCCUCCUUUACAGGAAGAGCAAUUGGUCUUGGUCAAGGCCCAUGGUCCACUGAGGGCGGUCAAAAGAUCCAGGACCUGUGGGGCACAAGGUCCUGAGAGCACCAAGGCCUGGAACAGGUCUGUUAGUUGUCAUUCCUAAGCUGAGCUUUUAUCCAGUUAAUAAAGGAGUCGCCAUGCCAGGGGCUUCCACCCAUCUUCUUCCGCUCAUCUGACACCGGGUCAUGGGGGCAGCAUUCUAAGUAAGGAUGCCAGGGUUUGGGGUGCUGAAGACCUCGCCUUCAACUGCCAUCCUCAUCGCAUCAGCCCCUUCUGAGUUCUCCUGCAGGUGGUGGGACCCCUGGAUAGCGAUCCCAACUCACUUCUUCAGGCUUGAACUGACCAGGGCCUGUGGGAGGAGCCCGGUCACCAGGCUCUCAACUGCAAGUCCCAACCCCAGGCCUGGCUCCAGGGUGGGGCCCUGGUGACAUCAAUCCGGGCAACUUUAAUAAAUAAAUAAAAAA